rnacentral:rRNA from 1 species
AGUGAACGCUGGCGGUAGGCCUAACACAUGCAAGUCGAACGGCAGCACAGUAAGAGCUUGCUCUUACGGGUGGCGAGUGGCGGACGGGUGAGGAAUACAUCGGAAUCUACUUUUUCGUGGGGGAUAACGUAGGGAAACUUACGCUAAUACCGCAUACGACCUACGGGUGAAAGCAGGGGAUCUUCGGACCUUGCGCGAUUGAAUGAGCCGAUGUCGGAUUAGCUAGUUGGCGGGGUAAAGGCCCACCAAGGCGACGAUCCGUAGCUGGUCUGAGAGGAUGAUCAGCCAGACUGGAACUGAGACACGGUCCAGACUCCUACGGGAGGCAGCAGUGGGGAAUAUUGGACAAUGGGCGCAAGCCUGAUCCAGCCAUACCGCGUGGGUGAAGAAGGCCUUAGGGUUGUAAAGCCCUUUUGUUGGGAAAGAAAAGCAGCAGGUUAAUACCCCGCUGUUCUGACGGUACCCAAAGAAUAAGCACCGGCUAACUUCGUG